CAACCCUCAAGCCCUGCUUGGUGUUGGGGCCCCACGGCUGCCGUGGGCCCUGAAAGGAAGUGGCGGGCUCGCUACAACUCCGAGCGUAGUAAUUCAUUAUCUCGCUUAGGGCGUUGGGCGGCGCUCCAGCCGUUAAAGAACCAUCUUUAACUCAA
rnacentral:misc_RNA from 1 species